rnacentral:rRNA from 1 species
CCUAUGGGUGGCAGCAGUGGGGAAUAUUGGGCAAUGGGCGAAAGCCUGACCCAGCGACGCCGCGUGGGCGAUGAAGGCCUUCGGGUUGUAAAGCCCUGUCAUGCGGAAAGAACGACCCUGUGACGCAUACUCACAGGGAGUGACGGUACCGCAGGAGGAAGCACCGGCUAACUCCGUGCCAGCAGCCGCGGUAAUACGGAGGGUGCAAGCGUUGUUCGGCAUUAUUGGGCGUAAAGGGCGCGUAGGCGGUAAUGCAAGUCAGAUGUGAAAUACUCCGGCUCAACUGGGGAACUGUAUCUGAAACUGCAGAACUAGAGUACAGAAGAGGGAAACGGAAUUCCCGGUGUAGAGGUGAAAUUCGUAGAUAUCGGGAGGAACACCAGUGGCGAAGGCGGUUUCCUGGUCUGAUACUGACGCUGAGGCGCGAAAGUGUGGGGAGCAAACA